AGGCUGUUCUUUGAAAUUGGAUAGGGUGGGAGAUUUCAAGUCCAAGCUAAACGUGAAAGUGCAAGUUGAGGGUGGCUCUGCGAUAAAAGACAUAAUUGAGCCCAAAGAUUUCGGAACCAAAGAUUGCAACUCACCUGUUGAAAGUUGCUCUGGUGUCCCUCAGUUACAGACUGAAGAUGACAAAAGCUAUUGCCAGCAAGAUACUUGAGUAGAGCAGAAUAAUUUGAAGAGUGAUAAGUUGAGAUAUUGGUGUCAUACGAGAGUAGCAGGAUAUUAAUCCCGGAUCUUGUUUGAAUGGAACCUUGCUUGCAAACAACGCUUCCUGCAAGGUAUUUGGCGAAACUGUUCAUGAGGUUGGUUUAGAUGACUGUGAUGCCUGUGGAAUUGAAUGAAAGAGUUCCAAAGUAGCAGCAGCAAUGCAUGAUGGCAAUCUUUGGUUCCGGUAUGCAUUCCUUAGGAACCAAUGCAUACUGGUUCUCCAUUUCCUGGGCUAGAAUUCUACCUGAUGGGAUGCUCGGCUCAGUCAAUCCAAGAGGGAUCAUCUUUUAUAAUAAAUUUAUAGACCAUCUUCUAAGCAAAGGCAGGAAUAGAGCCAUUUGUGACACUUCACCACAAUGACCUGCCCCAAGUACUAGAACAAGGAGACGGGGGUUGGCUCAGUCCGCUAUUAAGGGAAGAGUUUGCACAUUUUGCCUCCAUAUGCUUUGAGAGGAAAAGGCUGACUACUUAAAAAUGGAAGUUGCAGUGACCAGCUCUUUCAAGAUUGAAGCAUCAUCUGAAAAUCUUCGAAGUUGUAUGAAUAAUAAGCUAAGCAAUCAAGCUGGUUCUGUGGAGUCUUAUUUGUCUGGUCUUGAUUAAGGCCGAAAGGCAUUUGUAUUUAGUCUCAUAUCUUUUAAAACUAACCCAAUUAAAACUGAAUGACAUUUUUCCUCUCUAAUUCAAAAGCAAUUUAAAACUAGGUAGGGAAGAAGCCAUUGCUGCUCUGCAUUUGUCU